UGGGGAAUUUUCCGCAAUGGGGGGAACCCUGACGGAGCAACGCCGCGUGGGGGAGGAAGGUCUGUGGAUUGUAAACCCCUUUUCUCUGGGAAGAAGGUCUGACGGUACCAGAGGAAUCAGCAUCGGCUAACUCCGUGCCAGCAGCCGCGGUAAGACGGAGGAUGCAAGCGUUAUCCGGAAUUAUUGGG
rnacentral:rRNA from 1 species